rnacentral:rRNA from 1 species
GCCCUAUGGGUUGUAAACUGCUUUUACAGAGGAAGAACCCUCCUUACGUGUAAGGAGCUGACGGUACUCUAUGAAUAAGGAUCGGCUAACUCCGUGCCAGCAGCCGCGGUAAUACGGAGGAUCCAAGCGUUAUCCGGAAUCAUUGGGUUUAAAGGGUCCGUAGGCGGGUCUAUAAGUCAGUGGUGAAAGUCUGCAGCUUAACUGUAGAACUGCCAUUGAUACUGUAGACCUUGAAUUAGUAUGAAGUGGUUAGAAUGUGUAGUGUAGCGGUGAAAUGCAUAGAUAUUACACAGAAUACCGAUUGCGAAGGCAGAUCACUAAUACUAUAUUGACGCUGAUGGACGAAAGCGUAGGUAGCGAACAGGAUUAGAUACCCUGGUAGUCUACGCCGUAAACGAUGGUUACUAGCUGUCCGGCCUAAUUGAGGGCUGGGUGGUUAAGCGAAAGUGAUAAGUAACCCACCUGGGGAGUACGUUCGCAAGAAUGAAACUCAAAGGAAUUGACGGGGGCCCGCACAAGCGGUGGAGCAUGUGGUUUAAUUCGAUGAUACGCGAGGAACCUUACCAGGGCUUAAAUGCAGUCUGACGUAUCUGGAAACAGAUAUUUCUUCGGACAGAUUGCAAGGUGCUGCAUGGUUGUCGUCAGCUCGUGCCGUGAGGUGUCAGGUUAAGUCCUAUAACGAGCGCAACCCCUGUGGUUAGUUGCCAGCACGUAAUGGUGGGAACUCUAGCCAGACUGCCGGUGCAAACCGUGAGGAAGGUGGGGAUGACGUCAAAUCAUCACGGCCCUUACGUCCUGGGCCACACACGUGCUACAAUGGUAGGGACAGAGAGCAGCCACUUCGCGAGAAGGAGCGAAUCUAUAAACCCUAUCACAGUUCGGAUCGUAGUCUGCAACUCGACUACGUGAAGCUGGAAUCGCUAGUAAUCGCAUAUCAGCCAUGAUGCGGUGAAUACGUUCCCGGGCCUUGUACACACCGCCCGUCAAGCCAUGGAAGCCGGGGGUACCUGAAGUCCGUUACCGCAAGGAGCGGCCUAGGGUAAAACUGGUAACUGGGGCUAAGUCGUAACAAGGUAGCCGUACCGGAAGGUGCGGCUGGAACACCUCCUUUCU